CUUUGGAUUUGGAUCUCACAAUUAGUACUUUUGCAUCUCACAAUACUCUAAAUCAGUGAAAUUUUCAUAAGAUAAUGCAAAUAAAGAUCUUGUUCUCAUUUUUAUUUGGGAUUUACUUUGGAAUUUUGUUGGCAGCUUUAUUUUCAUUGAACCCAAAUGUGGAAAUGGCAAUAGUAGAUCUGAAAAAAAUCCGAAUAUUGUUCUUUUCGACGACAAUGAUGACAGAGCUGGGCAUAAUGUGCAAUAAGUGGAUUGAAUUGCAUAAGAAACGCCGAUAAACAUAUCUUCUGCGGUUUAAUUAGAAUAAUCGACAGAAUUAAUCGAAAAUAAUACCGACGAUAAUGAAAAUAAAGACAAAACAGAAAUAAAUCAUCUAUAAAUAACCGCUGAAAGAACACAGAAUUUACAUUUUUAUGGGUUCAAUAGCCAUUCCACCGUUUGCACGAGCAACAGUUGUGUAAUCGUUUUUCAAAACAAUCACACUUUGUUGAAAUAAUGACUCUGAUGCAGUGAACAAUGAUAAGAAUAUAGAAAUAAAAUACAGGAUAGUGUAGCAUCGCUAUAUGGAUAUUGCUAUAAAUCAUACAAAUAACAAAACAAUCGCGAAGCAAAUUGUCAACGAAGAUAAUAAAAAAAAGAAUAUUUUAUAUGGAUUUAAUCUUGAAAUUGAUAACAUGAAGGAAGAUUAGCACUUCAAAUUUCUUCUGAAUACUUACGCCGAUGCAGAGCGACACGAGCAAUAAUCGAGUCAAUUUAAUUACGAGUUCUGCAAAUUAUUUAAUCAUGUCCAGUGUUUUAUAAAUAAAAAUGUGGAAUUUUUCUGAGGAAUUUCCAAUAAAGUGUUGAUUAUUAAAAGAA